GAUGAACGCUGGCGGCGUGCCUAAUACAUGCAAGUCGAGCGAACGGACGAGAUGCUUGCUUCUCUGAUGUUAGCGGCGGACGGGUGAGUAACACGUGGAUAACCUACCUAUAAGACUGGGAUAACUUCGGGAAACCGGAGCUAAUACCGGAUAAUAUUUUGAACCGCAUGGUUCAAAAGUGAAAGACGGUCUUGCUGUCACUUAUAGAUGGAUCCGCGCUGCAUUAGCUAGUUGGUAAGGUAACGGCUUACCAAGGCAACGAUGCAUAGCCGACCUGAGAGGGUAAUCGGCCACACGGGAAAUGAGACACGGUCCAGACCCCUAGGGGAGGCAGCAGUAGGGAAUCUUCCGCAAUGGGCGAAAGCCUGACGGGGCAACGCCGGGGGAGUGAUGAAGGGUUUCGGACCGUAAAACUCUGUUAUUAGGGAAAAAAAUAUGUGUAAGUAACUGUGAACAUCUUGACGGUACCAAAGCAGAAAGCCACGGCAAACUACGU
rnacentral:rRNA from 1 species